rnacentral:lncRNA from 1 species
UUGAUGUUCCCGAUAUUAAUAUCUCGUUUGGUUCAAGUGAUGAGGUAAUUCCACUCACUUCCAGUCAACCUUCAACAUCAAGUAAAGAAAUUAGGUCAAUUGUCUCCGAACAGUCCUUAACUGCAGCUUCUUUUAUUUCAUCUAUAUCUGGUCCAAGAUUUGAUAAAACAGGUACCUCUCAUUUAGACACUUAUGCUUUUACUGAAUCAAUACUUCAAGAUUCACCUAAAAAAAA